rnacentral:rRNA from 1 species
GACGAACGCUGGCGGCGUGCCUAACACAUGCAAGUCGAACGAGGUCCAUCCUUCGGGAGAAGACCUAGAGGCGAACGGGUGAGUAACACGUGAAGAACCUGCCCCGAAGACCGGGAUAACCCUCCGAAAGGAGAGCUAAUACCGGAUACCCCCACCGAACCGCAUGGUUUGGUGAGGAAAUGGAUUCCGCUUCGGGAGGGCUUCGCGGCCUAUCAGCUAGUUGGUGGGGUAACGGCCCACCAAGGCAUCGACGGGUAGCUGGUCUGAGAGGACGAUCAGCCACACUGGGACGUGAGACACGGCCCAGACUCCUACGGGAGGCAGCGGUGGGGAAGUCUUGCGCAAUGGGCGAAAGCCUGACGCAGCAACGCCGCGUGGGGGA